rnacentral:tRNA from 1 species
GCCUGCCUAACUCAGUUGGUAGAGCAUGAGACUCUUGAUCUUAGGGUUGUGAGUUCGAGCCCCACGUUGGGCG